CCUACGGGGGGCAGCGGUGGGGAAUAUUGGACAAUGGGGGCAACCCUGAUCCAGCCAUGCCGCGUGUGUGAAGAAGGCCCUCGGGUUGUAAAGCACUUUCAGUGAGGAAGAACGCCUGGUGGUUAAUACCCAUCAGGAAAGACAUCACUCACAGAAGAAGCACCGGCUAACUCCGUGCCAGCAGCCGCGGUAAUACGGAGGGUGCGAGCGUUAAUCGGAAUUACUGGGCGUAAAGCGCGCGUAGGUGGCUUGAUAAGCCGGUUGUGAAAGCCCCGGGCUCAACCUGGGAACGGCAUCCGGAACUGUCAAGCUAGAGUGCAGGAGAGGAAGGUAGAAUUCCCGGUGUAGCGGUGAAAUGCGUAGAGAUCGGGAGGAAUACCAGUGGCGAAGGCGGCCUUCUGGACUGACACUGACACUGAGGUGCGAAAGCGUGGGUAGCAAACAGGAUUAGAUACCCUAGUAGUC
rnacentral:rRNA from 1 species